GAUGAACGCUAGCUACAGGCUUAACACAUGCAAGUCGAGGGGAAACGGCAUUAAGUGCUUGCACUUUUUGGACGUCGACCGGCGCACGGGUGAGUAACGCGUAUCCAACCUUCCCAUGACUAAGGGAUAACCUGCCGAAAGGCAGACUAAUACCUUAUGGUCUUCACUGACGGCAUCAGAUGUGAAGUAAAGAUUUAUCGGUUAUGGAUGGGGAUGGGUCUGUUUAGUUUGUUGGCGGGGAAACGGCCCACCAAGGCAACGAUCAGUAGGGGUUCUGAGAGGAAGGUCCCCCACAUUGGAACUGAGACACGGUCCAAACUCCUACGGGAGGCAGCAGUGAGGAAUAUUGGUCAAUGGGCGAGAGCCUGAACCAGCCAAGUAGCGUGCAGGAUGACGGCCCUAUGGGUUGUAAACUGCUUUUGUAUGGGGAUAAAGUCAAUCACGUGUGAUUGUUUGCAGGUACCAUACGAAUAAGGACCGGCUAAUUCCGUG
rnacentral:rRNA from 1 species